ACCACACCACGCCGCUCUCGUGACAGUGCGUGAGUGUGUGUCUGCCAGGGCUGAAGGUGUGUGUGUUCCCCGCUGAGCUCCGAGGAACCCUACGAGGAGAAGAGAUCCAACCCGACAGCGAGGCGACUCAGAAAGCAAAGGAGCCCAUCCCCCCGUCCUCACACACACACACACAAAAAAAGGAACCAGCAUGGGAAAAGGUGAGAGCGACGAUUGGGAUGAAAAAUACCCGGACACGAGGCAAACUCAGCCGCAGAGCUACAAGGACACGGAGAGCGUGAAGUCCAAGAAGAGCUGCCCCAAGUGCUGCCUGAAGACGAGGGACUGUCUGAUGAGCCCCGAGUGCGGCAGGGCCCUUCAGAUCUCCAGCGUCGUCGCCUGGUGUGGGAUGUGCAUCCGUAUGUUUGUGUAGCCUAACUAACCUUGGACAUCAGGACCAGCUUGUACAGUCUUUGUUUAUUCCCAGCAUCCUGCAACGUGCGUCAUGCCAUAUGGUUUUCUUUCUUUCCAUUUCAUCAGCUGAGGUUCUUUAGUUUCCUUUGCACGAGUUACAGUAUUUAACAUUAAAAAAAACAAACCUUUCUGUUCUAAAGAAGAAAUGGAGGAAACCAACAAGAAAGAGAAUAUUCAGAUAUUAUCCACAUGCACUAGUGAAUGCACUUGGAUUUAAUCUGCUCGUCUUUGUAAAGAGCUUUAUUUGGAUUCUUCUGUGAUUGAUCACCUCUGAUUAAUCAAGUUGACAGAGUAUUUACUCACUGCAGAUGUUGUGAUAUGUUUAUAGUUGAGAGGUAAUUUAAAAUAAUUGCAAACAUUAUGUGAUAUUAAUAAAAACUGAAUGACCUAGA